AUAUUUCCUAAUUCUAUUUGCUGUGCCUGACUGUUUCUACAUCUUUCCCUCCUGAGUCUGGUUCAUGGGAGUUGUGAGGAAUCUGUGAAAAAACCUCGUCUGUUCUUUGUGCCACCCUUUUGCCACUACAGCCCAGCCUUCCAGGCCUGCUGCAAAGGUCAGCCCUGACUUGGCAGAGGAAGAGCAAGGGUCAGAAAACCGGGAUGGGGAAGGACUUAUUGAAGAACACGUGCAACCUGAUGAACCAGCUCCUCUGCAAAGUGGUGAGAGAAGGCUGAGGGCAUGGGACCAUGCAGGUACGCUAUGAAUUCUUCCUCCACCGCAGAAGGAUUGGGAUGCAGAAUUCAUCCUGGGAAGGAAAGUCUGGAAAACCGCUUUAGUGUUUUGUGGACCAUUAAAAAAAAAAAAAAAAAGGAAAAAAGAGGGAUAUUUGUCAUUGCAGUGAUAAAACUGUGAGCAGCUUGGAGUUCAGUCAUGCCAGGGAGAGAAUAUGAUACUUUACACGAACACGUCAAGGUUUGGCAGCAAAAAGAAAACCAGGUGAGGAUAAUAUUCCCAGCCUCAAGAGAUCAUAUUCUUUGGAAAAAUGAUAGGAGAAAAAAACAUCAGGGCUAUUAUCUUCUGUACUUAGAGGAAGACUGACGGAGAAAAUGCAGUCACGAUUCGGUGAAAAAAUGGCUACGAAGGCUCUUCUGUCUGCUCUGCCUUCAUUUUUACUUGGGCACCGCUUUGUCAAGAUCUCCCCGAUCUGCCUGACAGCUGACUGUAUUGCAGGACAAAUUUUCUGUUGGGAAGGAAGUGACCUGUCUUACCCUGUACUGCAAGAUUACAAGAGUCAAAACAGCAAGACUGAAUGGACAGAGAUGGGAUCAGGGCGUCAGAAGCCUCAGUCAUGUGAAACUAACCAAGCAGUGGUGUCUUGAAAAGAAAUAUGUAGUGUCUGUAGCUCUUCAGGAAAUCUCAGCAUGGAUAUCCUGUUUUCUCAACCUGUAAUAAUGAACUGCUCUACCUCCUUUUCACUAUGCACAGGAUAUACAUGACUCCACCAUCUCUGUGUAUUUUGGGUUUUGCUCACUUAUUUUUAAAGUAGAAUAUACACAGUCU
rnacentral:lncRNA from 7 species